CCUACGGGUGGCAGCAGUGGGGAAUCUUGGGCAAUGGGCGCAAGCCUGAUCCAGCAACGCCGCGUGAAGGAAGAAGGCUUUCGGGUUGUAAACUUCUUUUCUCAGGGACGAAGAAAGUGACGGUACCUGAGGAAUAAGCCACGGCUAACUACGUGCCAGCAGCAGCCGUAAUACGUAGGUGGUAAGCGUUAUCCGGAUUUACUGGGGGUAAUGGGCGUGUCGGCGGGACUGCAAGUCAGAUGUGAAAAACACGGGCUCAACCUGGGGCCUGCAUGUGAAACUGUAGUGCUUGAGUACUGGAGAGGCAGACGGAAUUCCUAGGGUAGCGGGGGAAAGCG
rnacentral:rRNA from 1 species